UACGGAGGGUGCGAACGUUAUUCGGAAUCACUGGGCGUAAAGCGCGCGUAGGCGGUUCGUUAAGUGGGAUGUGAAAUCCCCGGGCUUAACCUGGGAAUUGCAUUUCAAACUGGCCGACUAGAGUACGGUAGAGGGAGGUAGAAUUUCCUGUGUAGCGGUGAAAUGCGUAGAUAUAGGAAGGAAUACCAGUGGCGAAGGCGGCCUCCUGGACCGGCAUUGACGCUGAGGAGCGAAAGCUAGGGGAGCAAACGGG
rnacentral:rRNA from 1 species